rnacentral:lncRNA from 1 species
AAAAAUGUACAAAAAUUUUCCAUACUGGGAAUGAAUGAAUAUGACGCAAAGUGAUGGGUAUUUGUGAAUGGUUAUUUAUUGGAUGGAAAAUGGGCUAUGAUAUGAAGUCAUCUGAUGGGGAUUGAAUAUGGUAUUCUAUGGGAAAUAUGGAUCAGCUGCACAUAGAGAUGUAUAUGUAAGAACAAAAAUUAUUCUACAACAGAUUCCAUGAUUUUGAUGAU